rnacentral:piRNA from 1 species
UCUGCCUAUUUUUCUUGUGCAAAUGACAUG